GUGACCUCAAAUCAGGUAGGACUACCCGCUGAACUUAAGCAUAUCAAUAAGCGGAGGAAAAGAAACUAACAAGGAUUCCCCUAGUAACUGCGAGUGAAGCGGGAAAAGCUCAAAUUUAAAAUCUGUCAGUCUUUGGCUGUCCGAGUUGUAAUCUAGAGAAGUGUUAUCUGCGUUGGACCGUGUACAAGUCUCCUGGGAUGGAGCGUCAUAGAGGGUGAGAAUCCCGUCUUUGACACGGACUACCAAGGCUUUGUGAUGCGCUCUCAAAGAGUCGAGUUGUUUGGGAAUGCAGCUCAAAAUGGGUGGUAAAUUCCAUCUAAAGCUAAAUAUUGGCGAGAGACCGAUAGCGAACAAGUACCGUGAGGGAAAGAUGAAAAGAACUUUGGAAAGAGAGUUAAACAGUACGUGAAAUUGCUGAAAGGGAAACGCUUGAAGUCAGUCGCGUUGUCCAGGGAUCAACCUUGCUUUUGCUUGGUGUACUUUCUGGUUAACGGGUCAACAUCAAUUUUGAUCAUUGGAAAAAAGUUAAGGGAAUGUGGCAUCUUUGGAUGUGUUAUAGCCUUUGAUUGUAUACAAUGGUUGGGAUUGAGGAACUCAGCACGCCGCAAGGCCGGGUUU
rnacentral:rRNA from 1 species